UACGGAGGGAGCUAGCGUUAUUCGGAAUUACUGGGCGUAAAGCGUACGUAGGCGGCUUUGUAAGUAAGAGGUGAAAGCCCGGAGCUCAACUCCGGAACUGCCUUUUAGACUGCAUCGCUUGAAUCCAGGAGAGGUGAGUGGAAUUCCGAGUGUAGAGGUGAAAUUCGUAGAUAUUCGGAGGAACACCAGUGGCGAAGGCGACCACCUGGACAAAGACUGACGCUGAGGUGCGAAAGCGUGGGGGAGCAAACAGG
rnacentral:rRNA from 1 species